rnacentral:misc_RNA from 1 species
GAUGAAGAACGUAGCGAAAUGCGAUAAGUAAUGUGAAUUGCAGAAUUCAGUGAAUCAUCGAAUCUUUGAACGCACAUUGCGCCCGCCGGUAUUCCGGCGGGCAUGCCUGUUCGAGCGUCAUUUCAACCAUCAAGCCCUGGGCUUGUGUUGGGGACCUGCGGCUGCCGCAGGCCCUGAAAUGCAGUGGCGGGCUCGCAAGACACACCGAGCGUAGUAGCUUACAACCUCGCUUUGGGAGUGCUGCGGGUGCUGGCCGUAAAGCGACCUUUUGCGUCUUUAGCACUAGGUUGACCUCGGAUCAGGUAGGAGGACCCGCUGAACUUAAGCAUAUCAAUAAGCGGAGGA